rnacentral:rRNA from 1 species
UACGUAGGGGGGCGAGCGUUGUCCGGAUUUAUUGGGCGUAAAGAGCGUGUAGGCGGCCAGGUAGGUCUGCUGUGAAAACUCGAGGCUCAACCUCGAGACGUCGGCGGAAACCAUCUGGCUAGAGUCCGGAAGAGGAGAGUGGAAUUCCUGGUGUAGCGGUGAAAUGCGCAGAUAUCAGGAAGAACACCAAUGGCGAAGGCAGCUCUCUGGGACGGUACUGACGCUGAGACGCGAAAGCGUGGGGAGCGAACAGG